rnacentral:lncRNA from 1 species
GCAUGCAAAUGUUGACCAAAUUUAUUCCCUUUUGUUUCUUAUCUUUAGUUCAACCGAGUGAGAGAAAGAAAACAAAAACAAGAUUGGUCCUCUGUUUUUUUCUUUACACCAACCAGGAGAGAAAAGCUGAGAGAAAUGAGAGGGAGAGCUCCUUUCCCCUUCUCCUUGCAGCCGAGAGAGAAGAGCUGAGAGAAACCCAAAGAAACUCCAACCAGUCCUCUUUUCUUUUUCUUCAAUCUUGAACAUCAAUCAAGAAACAAGAAAAUUAUAACUCAUCCUAGCCAAGAAUUGGGGAAGAAAGGCAGAAAUUUCUAGCUCAAAAAAAAACGUGGGGAAAGAAGUUGAAACUAUAAGUUUCAUUGCAGCUUCCAUUCUUGCAAGAUCUAAGGUAAACUUGCUAGCCAAACUUUCCAUUUUUCUCAAGACACACUAAGAUGAUUGAUGCAUAUUAGUUCUAGCCACGGAAAUGGAAAUUUUGUGGGAAAGUACUCUCAUUAGAAGUUGAUUUAUAUGCUGAAAAUUUCCAGCUUUGACCGAGGGCGAAAUGAGUUCAAUUUACAGCCUCUUAUUUCGACCUUUGGAGGAGUUUCCACUAGGAAUUCAUGCUUAUAAGUGUUGUAAUUCUUUUUUAGUAUGAUAUAUAGCAUGUUGUCUCUGAUUUUGGUAGCAAAUUGGUGGCUUACGUGUGAGAAAAUUGGCAGCAACAAAGUUGAAUAACUCCUGUGAAACCAAUGGAGUGAAGCUACAAGUUUGGUUCCUUUCUCCCAAGAAAUCUUGCUGCAAUUUAUUUAAAUGUACCGUAUAUAUCUCCUAUUUCUCUUUCUAGGACCUGCACAUAUUGUAUUGUUUACCGUCAGGAGAAAUAAAACUUGAUUUGUGAAGAAACCUUGCUGGAAAAUCUGUUAAGUUAAUGAGCGUGGACUGACUGAUUGCAUAAAGCUGGAUAUAUCAGUUGUACUUUGAAUUUGGAGUGAAGUUUUGCUAAGAUUUCAUGUUUUGUAUCAUGACAACUAUGUAUAUAGACGUUGGUAUGUUUAUAUGGUUGAAUCAUAGUUGUAUGUUCAUUGAUUUGGCUGAAAAAUUGUCUAAGAAAGCUUGAACUUCGGGUGACAGUCACCUCUAGGCAGUUUUAGCAAAAUGAUCAUAACUUAGUGUAGAAAAAUCGAAAUUGAGUACCAUCAAUUGCGUUUGAAACUAGACUCAUAGAUCUUUCCAAUGGUGUAAAAUUAGAGCUGUGGUUCGUUUUAUAUAUGCACCAGAAAAUCAGCAAAAUUGACUGAAAAAUCGGUCCUGAACAAGUAAAAAUUGGGAUGCUGUGGUAACUUGUGACUCAAUUUGGAUUAACUUAUGAACCAAAUCUCCUUGAGAUGUCUGUUAAAGAUUGUUAGUAUUUCAAGUCUAGUUUUAAACGAGAUAAUUUGUAUGAGUUUUCGACAUUUAUAACUUAAGUUAUGAUUUUUCCAAAGAAAGAAUGCUUGAUGGAAUUUUAGCUUUGAUCGCUAAAUUUUCAAGAUGAUUUUAAGCUCAAUUUGUUCAAAACACCCUAGAAGACUUUAAACUACAAGUAUGUGUUGGAAAUGAACCAAAACCAUGGACCUUAAGUGGUUUAAACUCCAUUUAUUUCACUGUUUUCAUGGCUGGAAUUCUCCUUGAGGCUGACCGAAAGAGAGAGUGAUUUUAUUUAGCUUUAUUCUUGGUUUUGUGUGGUGAAAUCAACUUGUUAAUGUCCUAAACACGUGAUUAAACAUUAACUUUGGUAUAAGUAGUGAAUUGGAGUAGAAAAUGAAAGGUUUUGAGAGGUGAAAACUUCACUUUUACAUGUUUCAUGUCCCAAGCAAUAAAUUUCCCAUUUUAGUUAAGGAAAAUGAAAAUGAGUGUUAAAAUGCUAAUAUCAUGUUUACUAUAUAUUUUAGCCAUGUCAUGUAAUUUUUCCAACUUGCAUAUGUUCCAUUAGUUUGCUUAUGGAAAUUUAAGCUUGUGGAGUUGAACUUUUGCUUGAUGACCAGCCUUGGUAUGGAGAUAUGUGAGCUAAAUACUUGUCUAUUUUUUGUGGCUUUAUGGUCUGAAACUAGUAGCUUGUAUAGCCUAUCAUUUAUGGUCUUGAUUUGGAUGGUUUGGCCAUGAAAUUUUAUAUUGAAUCUGGAGAGGAAAUAUAGGAUAAAACAGGGGUUAUGCUGUCCAAAUUUUGGGGCAGCUUACUACCAUGAUUUUGGACUGAUUUGAUGAUGUACUUGCCUAAUAUGCUUAGCGAACCUUUAAGCUUUGCUUAUGUAUUGUAUUUUGGUUGAACUGGAAGGGUUUCAUUGGGAUUUUCUUCGAAAUUGCUGGCUAAAAUUGUGCUUGUUUGUCGAUGGAGAGUGCAGCCUAUUACAUUGUUGUUUUUCUAACCUUUUAGUAAUUGGUUUUGGCCAAAAACUUGUUCCAAACUUUGGAGGAGCCUUUUGUACGUGAAUUUGAGUGAAAACUAUAAAAAUUGGGAGGUGAAAACCUCAUGAUUGUACUUGUUUCAUGGCUGCGAAAAAAAUUCUGAUUUGGAGGGCAGUUUUGCACCUUGCUACCUUUUAGCCUCAACGUCUUUAGUUUGAAAGUCUUUUGGACACAACCUCGCUGACUUGACUUGAGAAAACCCUGUUUCUUUCAUUGGUUCGCUGUUGAAAAUUUCCCGCCAUGAAGCGAAUAAGGAACUUGUUGGUUAUUCAUGUUUCUUGAGUCCAAAAUGCUCUCAUACGCUUCAAAACCCUACUUGAGUUUUUGCCCUAGAGUAUACUUAAAUUUUUCCUUGAUUUGCAUUCUAAAUAUGGCUGUGUAUGUUGGGUUUUGAAAAAAAAAAUUAAAUUAACUUGAAGAGGUAUACGACUCAUAGUCGAGUCUAAAUUAUGAAUUCUGUUCACUUGGUUAUUCUUAGGGCUUGUCUGACCAAGGGGGCAAUCCAGGAGGAAACUUUUGAUGCUAUUUUUGCUUGAACUAGUGAGUGUUCCAACUGCAAGUUCCAUGCUACUUGUUGCGCAAAUAUGACCUGUAUAUGACUUGUUACUUGAAUUGACUUGUUAUUACAUAGGUGAGUGUGUACUUUAUCACACUCGACCUAACUUGACUGAAUUCCUAUUUUACUACUAUAAUUGAAUUGUUUACAAGUGAACUAAGAUUCAUGCGUAUGAGUUGAAAGUAACGGCCUGGAUCCUAAACCCCAUAGGCUAGUUAAUCGAGUCGAGUCGGCAAGGGCCUGGUCAAUUAGAUAACGAACCCUGGGUCUACUGUUUUGUCGAGUGGAGUGUUAUCUUCUCGACUAAUUGGUAUACUCGAGCAUUACCACCACUGUUUAUGUUUGGAGUUCGGGCCCGGUAGGGGGUUGAUUGGUGGAUGGAGGUUGGAGUUAAGUGGUGAUGUACUGGACUUGUUAUGAUUCCAUGGUUGACGGAGUGUCAACAGAUUCUAAACAAGUUGUCACAGAACCUGUUCUCGAGAACAAACUGUAUCUUUUUAUAUGUAUGUGUUAUCGGCUGUACAUAGUUAAAUGAGUUGUCUGGAUGUUAUGUUCUUUAUGGAAAAAUGUGAUCAUGCUAUCAUGUGAAUGCUAAAAUGCCUAAUUGCUUGUUGUUCUCUUGGAACUUCACUGAGUUUUUAGCUCAUCCCUUUAUUUGUUUUCCUUAACAGGGUAUGGUAAUGACAAGGACAAGAAUAGUGCUAGUUGUAAUAGGAAAUCUUAAUCUUGUAUUUCGACAACACUGUAUUAUGGUAUUAGUUUACAAGUUCUUAUCUUUUGGUCUAUAUUUUGGUUUGUAUAUUCGGAUGAUCAGUAGCAUGUAGAUGUUAUAUUGAAGAAUUUUAGUGUUAUUGAUUUGCUAUCCAAAGAAUAAGGAAUUCCAAAGUUGUAGUCUUUAUUUUAAAUAAUUGCAAUCCUAUUUAUACUUAGAGAAGUGAUUGAACUACUUGCA